GACGAACGCUGGCGGCGUGCCUAAUACAUGCAAGUCGAACGAGAGCGCCCUGUUCUUGCACUGGUCAAUCUAGUGGCAAACGUGUGAGUAACACGUGUGUAACCUGCCCAUCAGAGGGGGAUAACAUCCGGAAACGGAUGCUAAAACCGCAUAGGUCUUCGAGCCGCAUGGCUUGAAGAGGAAAAGAGGCGCAAGCUUCUGCUGAUGGAUGGACUCGCGGUGCAUUAGCUGGUUGGUGAGGUAACGGCUCACCAAGGCAGUGAUGCAUAGCCGAACUGAGGGGGUGAUAGCCGACCUUGGGAGUGAGCCACGGACAAUGGUCCUACGGGAGGGAGCAGUAGGGAAUGUGACGCAAUGGACGAAAAUAUUGCGGAGCAACGCGGCGUGAGAGAAGAAGGCUUUCGGAGCGUAAUACUCUGUUGUUAGAGAAGAACAAGUGCUAGAGUAACUGUUAGCGCCUUGACGGUAUCUAACCAGAAAGCCACGGCUAACUACGUG
rnacentral:rRNA from 1 species